rnacentral:rRNA from 1 species
UACGUAGGGUGCGAGCGUUAAUCGGAAUUACUGGGCGUAAAGCGUGCGCAGGCGGUAAGUUAAGUCUGAUGUGAAAGCCCCGGGCUCAACCUGGGAAUGGCAUUUGGGACUGCAAGGCUGGAGUUUGGCAGAGGAGACUGGAAUUCCUGGUGUAGCAGUGAAAUGCGUAGAUAUCAGGAGGAAUACCGAUGGCGAAGGCAGGUCUCUGGGCUAUAACUGACGCUCAUGCACGAAAGCGUGGGGAGCAAACAGG